UACGUAGGGUCCGAGCGUUGUCCGGAAUUACUGGGCGUAAAGAGCUCGUAGGUGGUUUGUCGCGUUGUUCGUGAAAACUCACAGCUCAACUGUGGGCGUGCGGGCGAUACGGGCAGACUGGAGUACUGCAGGGGAGACUGGAAUUCCUGGUGUAGCGGUGGAAUGCGUAGAUAUCAGGAGGAACACCGGUGGUGUAGACGGCUUUCUGGGCCCUACCUGACGCUGAGACGCGAAAAGCGUGGGGGAGCGAACCGG
rnacentral:rRNA from 1 species